rnacentral:rRNA from 1 species
GUGGGGAAUAUUGGACAAUGGGCGCAAGCCUGAUCCAGCCAUGCCGCGUGAGUGAUGAAGGCCUUAGGGUUGUAAAGCUCUUUCACCGAUGAAGAUAAUGACGGUAGUCGGAGAAGAAGCCCCGGCUAACUUCGUGCCAGCAGCCGCGGUAAUACGAAGGGGGCUAGCGUUGUUCGGAUUUACUGGGCGUAAAGCGCACGUAGGCGGUUUGUUAAGUCAGGGGUGAAAUCCCGGAGCUCAACUCCGGAACUGCCUUUGAUACUGGCAAGCUAGAGUCCGGAAGAGGUAAGUGGAAUUCCUAGUGUAGAGGUGGAAUUCGUAGAUAUUAGGAAGAACACCAGUGGCGAAGGCGGCUUACUGGUCCGGAACUGACGCUGAGGUGCGAAAGCGUGGGGAGCAAACAGGAUUAGAUACCCGGGUAGUCC